UUCGGCCAUAUCACGUUGAAAUACCAGUCCCUGUACGAUCACCGUAGUUAAGCAACGUCAAGCCUGGUCAGUACCUAGAUGGGUGUCCGCUUUUGAAUACCAGGUGCUGUAAG